rnacentral:rRNA from 1 species
UACGGAGGGGGCGAGCGUUGUUCGGAAUUACUGGGCGUAAAGGGCGCGUAGGCGGUCCAUCAAGUCAGGCGUGAAAUCCCUGGGCUCAACCCAGGACGUGCGCUUGAGACUGGCGGGCUUGAGCAUAGGAGAGGAUGGUGGAAUUCCCAGUGUAGAGGUGAAAUUCGUAGAUAUUAGGAAGAACACCAGUGGCGAAGGCGGCUCACUGGCCCGGUACUGACGCUGAGGCGCGAAAGCGUGGGGAGCAAACAGG